rnacentral:rRNA from 1 species
GCGGAAUGCUUUACACAUGCAAGUCGAACGGCAGCACGGGAGCUUGCUCCUGGUGGCGAGUGGCGAACGGGUGAGUAAUAUAUCGGAACGUAUCCAAUAAUGGGGGAUAACUAGUCGAAAGAUUAGCUAAUACCGCAUACGCCCUGAGGGGGAAAGCUGGGGAUCUUCGGACCUAGCGUUAAUGGAGCGGCCGAUAUCUGAUUAGCUAGUAGGUGAGGUAAAAGCUCACCUAGGCGACGAUCAGUAGCUGGUCUGAGAGGACGACCAGCCACACUGGAACUGAGACACGGUCCAGACUCCUACGGGAGGCAGCAGUGGGGAAUUUUGGACAAUGGGCGCAAGCCUGAUCCAGCCAUUCCGCGUGAGUGAAGAAGCCUUCGGGUUGUAAAGCUCUUUCGCAAGGAAAGAAAACUUAGUCUCUAACAUAGGCUGAGGCUUACGGUACCUUGAUAAGAAGCACCGGCUAACUACGUGCCA